rnacentral:tRNA from 1 species
GCUGAGAUCGCAUAACCCGGUAUUGCGCCGGCCUUGAGAGCCGGUUCCUUAUGGAAUUGGGGGUUCGAAUCCCUCUCUCAGCG